rnacentral:rRNA from 1 species
UACGAAGGGUGCAAGCGUUAAUCGGAAUUACUGGGCGUAAAGCGUGCGCAGGUGGUUUUGUAAGACAGAUGUGAAAUCCCCGGGCUUAACCUGGGAACUGCGUUUGUGACUGCAAGACUUGAGUGCGGCAGAGGGGGGUGGAAUUCCACGUGUAGCAGGGAAAUGCGUAGAGAUGUGGAGGAACACCGAUGGCGAAGGCAGCCCCUGGGUCGACACUGACACUCAUGCACGAAAGCGUGGGGAGCAAACAGGAUUAGAAACCCUGGUAGU